rnacentral:rRNA from 1 species
UCGGCAAUGGACGAAAGUCUGACCGAGCAACGCCGCGUGUGCGAUGAAGGCCUUCGGGUUGUAAAGCACUGUCAAGGGGAAACAAGCCGUAAGGUUGAGUGACCCCUGGAGGAAGCACGGGCUAAGUUCGUGCCAGCAGCCGCGGUAAGACGAACCGUGCAAACGUUAUUCGGAAUCACUGGGCUUAAAGGGCGCGUAGGCGGGUGAUCAAGUCAAUGGUGAAAUCCUCCAGCUUAACUGGAGAAGUGCCUUUGAUACUGAUUGUCUAGAGGGAGGUAGGGGCAUGUGGAACUUCAGGUGGAGCGGUGAAAUGCGUAGAUAUCUGAAGGAACGCCAGUGGCGAAAGCGAUGUGCUGGACCUAUUCUGACGCUGAGGCGCGAAAGCUAGGGGAUCGAACGGGAUUAGAUACCCCGGUAGUCCUAGCCCUAAACUAUGGGUACUAGAUUGUGGACUUUCAUGGGUUCACAGUCGAAGCAAAAGUGUUAAGUACCCCGCCUGGGGAGUAUGGUCGCAAGGCUGAAACUCAAAGGA